rnacentral:rRNA from 1 species
AACCUCCGCAAUGUGAGAAAUCGCGACGGGGGGAUCCCAAGUGCCAUUCUUAACGGGAUGGCUUUUCAUUAGUGUAAAGAGCUUUUGGAAUAAGAGCUGGGCAAGACCGGUGCCAGCCGCCGCGGUAACACCGGCAGCUCUAGUGGUAGCAAUUUUUAUUGGGCCUAAAGCGUCCGUAGCCGAUUUAAUAAGUCUCUGGUGAAAUCCUGCAGCUUAACUGUGGGAACUGCUGGAGAUACUAUUAGACUUGAGAUCGGGAGAGGUUAGAGGUACUCCCAGGGUAGAGGUGAAAUUCUGUAAUCCUGGGAGGACCGCCUGUUGCGAAGGCGUCUAACUGGAACGAUUCUGACGGUGAGGGACGAAAGUUAGGGGCGCGAACCGGGAUUAGAUACCCGGGUAGUCCUAACUGUAAACGAUGCGGACUUGGUGUUGGGGUGGCUUUGAGCUGCUCCAGUGCCGAAGGGAAGCUGUUAAGUCCGCCGCCUGGGAAGUACGGUCGCAGACUGAAACUUAAAGGAAUU